rnacentral:rRNA from 1 species
CCCUUAGAUGUCCUGGGCCGCACGCGCGUUACACUGAUGCAUUCAACGAGCUUAUAACCUUGGCCGAGAGGCCUGGGCAAUCUUGUUAACGUGCAUCGUGAUAGGGAUAGAUUAUUGAAAUUAUUAAUCUUGAACGAGGAAUUCCUAGUAAACGCAGAUCAUCAAUCUGCAUUGAUUACGUCCCUGCCCUUUGUACACACCGCCCGUCGCACCUACCGAUUGGAUGGUCCGGUGAAGCCUCGGGAUUGUGGUUCUUGCCGCUUUGUUGUAGCGUGACCGCGAGAACUUGUCUAAACCUUAUCAUCUAGAGGAAGGUGAAGUCGUAACA